UUGAUAAGAGGUUAUUAAUGCUAAGUUCAUCAGGUGAAGUUCUCGAUUGUGUGUGCAAAGGGGAAGGGCCAGGAAAUAGGACUCUGUACUGACUUACUAUUGGGUCAUGUCUCAUUGUCUUUUAUAUAUUUUUGAAAGGGUCUCCUGUGGAACUCACACUUUUGUGGUUUUGGUUUUUAAAAUGAGCACUCUGCCUCUCAUGCUAAUGUAGACUCAGCAGGUCUCUGUCUGUGGGCUCUGGUUGGCAGCUGUGUAGACAGCAGCAGUUAGGCCUGGUUUGGGUGUGUCUUCCUCUUCCAGCACAAUGGUGGAGUUUAGGCUCAUUGAACUCUGGCCACACACACCUUUUCUGUGAGUCACACUGGUGAAUAAAGACUCCAGUUUUGUUCACACUUAAGGUUUUAAGAAAUUAACUGGUUCCUUCAGUAAUUUUUCACAUUCAGAGUUAAGCUCUUAACUUUAUAAGUUAUUAUGAAGGUAACUUCAUUUGUGUGUUCUGGUGCCCAUAGAAGCCAAAGGAGGAUAUUGGGCCCCCCAGUUUUAGAAUUACACAGGCUGUUGUGAGCCACCCAGUGAGGAUGCUGAGGAGAGAACUUGGAUCCUCUGGAAGAGCAGCAAGCUCUCCUAACUACUGAGCCAUCUCUCCAGCUCCUGAAGGCUAUCAUGGGAAUGGUACUCCAGGAACAGCAUUCGUCACAGCACUGCCCUUUCUGAGGGUUCAGGCUGGGGAGCUUCUACCAAGGGCACGCUCUAUCUUAACAUUACCCAGGCUGGCCUUGAAGUGAUUAUCCAGCGUCCACACAGCUAGCGCUCGGGUGUGUGUCCCUACAUCCAACUUGCUGUCUUUGUUCUUAAGCUAAUAACAUUUCUUAGUAAUUAUUUAUUAUCAGUAUGUUUUCAUAGUUUCCUGUCAUAGUUUUUGGAGCCUGAGGCUAUCAGCUGGAGUUCUCUAUGCUUGGUGGGGACAAUGGUCACUGUUUGUACCACAUGAGAGAGGUGGUGAGCACCUGGGAGAGUAUCCUGCCCUAUUUUGUGUGCAUUUCCAGCUUAGCACUGAAGAUUCCUGCAGAGUGUAGAGCAGUGUGUGAGUGAUCCUAGCUGGUUCCGUGGAUGUUUCAGUCCAUUGUCUGGGGAAACACUGUUGUAUUGCUGGGAAGAAAGACCAUGACUAAGACAACUCUUAUAAAAGAAAGCACUUAUUGGGGGCUUGCUUACAGUUUCAUAAACUUAGUCCAUUACAUUAUGGCUGAAAGCAUGGCAGCAAGUGCGCAUGGUGCUGGAGAGGUGGCUGAGAGCUACAUUUUGAUCCAUAAGAAGAGACAUAUUUAUUCCAAGGCCAGCACCUUGAUCCAUCUUUUUCUUUCAAAUAGUGCUAGUCCCUAGUGACUAAGCAUUCAAAUAUAUGAACCUGUGUGUAUCAUUCUUAUUCAAACCACCACAGCACCUAAU